rnacentral:tRNA from 1 species
GAGGGCAUAGCUCAAGUGGUAGAGUACAUGCUUAGCAUGCACUAGGUCCUGGGUUCAAUCUCCAGUACCUCCU